rnacentral:rRNA from 1 species
GACGAACGCUGGCGGCGUGCUUAACACAUGCAAGUCGAACGGAAAGGCCCUGCUUUUGUGGGGUGCUCGAGUGGCGAACGGGUGAGUAACACGUGAGUAACCUGCCCUUGACUUUGGGAUAACUUCAGGAAACUGGGGCUAAUACCGGAUAGGAGCUCCUGCUGCAUGGGGGGGGUUGGAAAGUUUCGGCGGUUGGGGAUGGACUCGCGGCUUAUCAGCUUGUUGGUGGGGGAGUGGCUUACCAAGGCUUUGACGGGUAGCCGGCCUGAGAGGGUGACCGGCCACAUUGGGCCUGAGAUACGGCCCAGACUCCUACGGGAGGCAGCAGUGGGGAAUAUUGCCCAAUGGGCGGAAGCCUGAUGAAGCAACGCCGCGUGCGGGAUGACGGCCUUCGGGUUGUAAACCGCUUUCGCCUGUGACGAAGCGUGAGUGACGGUAAUGGGUAAAGAAGCACCGGCUAACUACGUG